rnacentral:rRNA from 1 species
UGAGGGGGAUAUUUGGGGGGCAAUGGGGGGCAACCCUGACCCAGCGACGCCGCGUGAGGGAAGACGGUCUUCGGAUUGUAAACCUCUGUCUUUGGGGACGAAAAGGACGGUACCCAAGGAGGAAGCUCCGGCUAACUACGUGCCAGCAGCCGCGGUAAUACGUAGGGAGCGAGCGUUGUCCGGAAUUACUGGGUGUAAAGGGAGCGUAGGCGGGAAAACAAGUUGGAUGUGAAAACUGCGGGCUUAACCUGCAGACUGCAUUCAAAACUGUUUUCUUGAGUGAAGUAGAGGCAAGCGGAAUUCCUAGUGUAGCGGUGAAAUGCGUAGAUAUUAGGAGGAACACCAGUGGCGAAGGCGGCUUGCUGGGGCUUUUACUGACGCUGAGGCUCGAAAGUGUGGGGAGCAAACAGGAUUAGAUACCCUGGUAGU